rnacentral:lncRNA from 1 species
GAAAAAUUCAUUGUCUUCACUUGAACUGUCGUAACACCCAGUCUGAUUUGUGCAUUUCCACCAUUGUGUACACUACCAACGGUAGCUUGGCAUCCCACACCUACCGUUUUUCAACACUUUCGACGGGAUACAAGAUAUGACAUCGGUGUCGGCGUACAACAUUUAUUCAAACUGAAAAAACAAAACUAUAAAUAUCGUUAUGUGUGAAUUUUUUAUGGAUUAUUACGUAAUUAAUAUAGGUUCGAAAGAUUAAGUAACUAACAUUGGGUUUCGAGCGUUGAUCAAACAAUAGCAAAA